GGGAGUGUUCCGGUUUCGACAGGUAAGAGUAAUCUUAUGUUGCAGGUGAGGUUGCGUUUGACCUCUGAUCAGACGAAAACAAUAACUGACGAAUCUGUUGAAGAUGAGCAGUUUGCUCUCGCUGCGUAAGCAGCGAUAACACGGAGCCCUUUCUGCGCUGUUCCUAGCGGGGAGACGCUCUGUAGACAACAGGGACUUUCCUUGCAUCUUGUUCGGGUCUUGCAAGGGAGACUUACCGGAAUACGGAGACGAUGCCUUUGAAGCCGCGACCGUUUCCCGACAAUCACCUCGCUUCAAUAAACCUGU
rnacentral:tmRNA from 1 species